CAAAUCAAGACAAAAAGUCAUCAGGAGCUGCUGUGGGAUAGCUGCCAUGGGUGUGCUCUGAGCCAGAUAUUGUAAGGCGAUCAAUAAGAAGAAAGAAACUGUGGCCUUUGUUUAUGAUCUGCUACAGGAGGCGAGCCUCAAAGACCUGUCACUGUCUUGCUGGGUGACAGUAGAUUCAGAAACUGAAGUUUAAAGAAAAGUUAAGGAAUUUUCUCAAGCUCCUGUGGCCAGAGGCAGGGUCUACCAGAUGUGGAAAUUCAUUCUUGAAACUUCUUGCUCUCCCACCUGACAGCUCUUAUAAGGAUCCUGGCAGAAGAGGCAGCUCCCAUCUGCAGCCUGCUGUCCUCAUGGCAGAGAACAGAAGCUCAAGAGAGAAAGAGGUCAACCAGCAAGCCCACUGAAACGUUCUGCUCACACGUGGUGUAAGUCAGAUCUGCUGGCACACCAGUGGGCAAAGCAAGUCACAUGGCUCAGCCUCAAGUCAAAGGGGCAGGAAGUAGGGCUGCCAAAAGCAGCGUGACAAGGACAGGGAGGGAAUAAACACAAACAAAGAACAGAGGCUGCUACAAUGUCUAAACAAUCCCAGACUGGAGUUAAUCUUUUUCCAGGACUCUUCUCAUUUUACUUUGAACAAAAGAGCUGAAAGAACAAAAAUUGUGUACAAGUUCAGAGUCAAUAAGACAUGCACUGAAAUCUGACUUCCUCUGCUUACUGCUGUGUAAGGCCAGCUGGCUAACCUUUCUGAGCCUCAGUUUCUGCAUCUGUCAAAUGGGACUAAUAACAUAGGUUUCACACGGUUGUUGUGGGGAUUAAGUGAGAUCAUACAGUGCUUGACACAUGGUAGGUCAUGAGCAGAUCCUAGCUGGUACCAUUAUAAGUACUAGUGAAUAUUAAA